UUCGAUUCGCAAGAGGAAGUGGUGCAGCCUUCAGGAGUCGUUCCUUGGCGUCUACAAAUCGACUUCCGGAAGAGAGGACCCGACUGCAUGAGGAAGUGCAUUACCCAGGGUGUUCUGCACCCGGUCCAAUGUCAUUCCCUUUGCUGAAGAUCCCUCUUUCUUUCUAGGUCGGCGGAACAUUCCAAAGCGCGAUUUCUUAAAAACCAUAUACCAGCGAUUGCUGUGGCAUCUCUUUCAAACACGGAUUCCGAGACCAGAUUCCUAUGACGUCACAGGACAUCGAGGCUGCUUCAAAGAUGCCAUACGACUCUUGCAAAUACCUCAUAACCCUCCUCGGACGCACGCGUUUAAACAUUAAUUUUCCUUCAUGAAAAUGUGAUCCCUGUCAUUUAUAGAAGUUUAAAACUUUGGAAAAAUGACUUGCUCAGUGUCAAAAUACCGAUAAAAACCGGUCCAUGUAUCCAGUCUGUCACGGUAGCCUGUAAACUGCAUAUUUAUUCUGUAUGAAAAAUUCUACAAUUGUUCUAAAGCGUUAGGUGACUUCCUGUACAAAAAAACAAAAAAAAAUUUAGAUUAUUAAACAUUGUGAUGUGUUCU